AAUGGGUCAGCGACUUAUAUUCUGUAGCAAGGUUAACCGAAUAGGGGAGCCGAAGGGAAACCGAGUCUUAACUGGGCGUUAAGUUGCAGGGUAUAGACCCGAAACCCGGUGAUCUAGCCAUGGGCAGGUUGAAGGUUGGGUAACACUAACUGGAGGACCGAACCGACUAAUGUUGAAAAAUUAGCGGAUGACUUGUGGCUGGGGGUGAAAGGCCAAUCAAACCGGGAGAUAGCUGGUUCUCCCCGAAAGCUAUUUAGGUAGCGCCUCGUGAAUUCAUCUCCGGGGGUAGAGCACUGUUUCGGCAAGGGGGUCAUCCCGACUUACCAACCCGAUGCAAACUGCGAAUACCGGAGAAUGUUAUCACGGGAGACACACGGCGGGUGCUAACGUCCGUCGUGAAGAGGGAAACAACCCAGACCGCCAGCUAAGGUCCCAAAGUCAUGGUUAAGUGGGAAACGAUGUGGGAAGGCCCAGACAGCCAGGAUGUUGGCUUAGAAGCAGCCAUCAUUUAAAGAAAGCGUAAUAGCUCACUGGUCGAGUCGGCCUGCGCGGAAGAUGUAACGGGGCUAAACCAUGCACCGAAGCUGCGGCAGCGACACUAUGUGUUGUUGGGUAGGGGAGCGUUCUGUAAGCCUGCGAAGGUGUGCUGUGAGGCAUGCUGGAGGUAUCAGAAGUGCGAAUGCUGACAUAAGUAACGAUAAAGCGGGUGAAAAGCCCGCUCGCCGGAAGACCAAGGGUUCCUGUCCAACGUUAAUCGGGGCAGGGUGAGUCGACCCCUAAGGCGAGGCCGAAAGGCGUAGUCGAUGGGAAACAGGUUAAUAUUCCUGUACUUGGUGUUACUGCGAAGGGGGGACGGAGAAGGCUAUGUUGGCCGGGCGACGGUUGUCCCGGUUUAAGCGUGUAGGCUGGUUUUCCAGGCAAAUCCGGAAAAUCAAGGCUGAGGCGUGAUGACGAGGCACUACGGUGCUGAAGCAACAAAUGCCCUGCUUCCAGGAAAAGCCUCUAAGCAUCAGGUAACAUCAAAUCGUACCCCAAACCGACACAGGUGGUCAGGUAGAGAAUACCAAGGCGCUUGAGAGAACUCGGGUGAAGGAACUAGGCAAAAUGGUGCCGUAACUUCGGGAGAAGGCACGCUGAUAUGUAGGUGAAGUCCCUCGCGGAUGG
rnacentral:rRNA from 1 species